CACGACUCACCGCCUGGCUGGCGGCCGACGAG
rnacentral:scRNA from 1 species